UUAAAAAAAAAAAAACUCUAAAAAGCUAAAUCAAACAAAGGAGAAAGCCAAAUCUACACUUCAAAUUGAUAAAAGAAUUUUUUUUCUCUUUUCUCGAAAAUCUCAAACAGCGGUUUAUGAAAAACCGCAUUUUUUAGCUGCUAACAAUUUUUCCCUUCUUUUCCUCAAAAAAGCUUUUUUCGAAAACUUCGUACUACACGGUCCUCAAGGUGAGAAAAGAAGAGAAACAAACGAGAAACACGGGCGCGUAGAGUGGGGGAGCAGGAGGGGAAAAUGGAACAGAGGAGUGACAGUGUGUCUUCGGUUUAAAUAUUCAGGGAAAACGGGACGGUGAAACGCGACGGUGAGUAGAUAAAUCAAAAAGAGAGCACACAGGAAGUCGUAGUAAAUAACGGGGCGACGAAGCGCGGAAAAGAAAAAUGCGCCGCGUGGAAUGGGGCCGUGGUCGUUGAAAGAAACAGACACACGUGAAAAUAUCAGGCCGUUGCUAUUGUACACGGCGCAUAAUUAAGUUUCAAGGAAAAGUCUUAACCCUUUGCCUGGCGAGGGAUCUGCUUCGUAAUCGGCCAAUUCGAAGUCGCGUGCUCGAGCUUUUUUAACAGAGAUAUACGUAUUAAGUAAAUGUAUAUGGUAUAUAGUCAAUGUAUAUGCUAGAGAAUUAUCCGUACCAACUGGGGAGUGAUCUCUUUCAAAUUAAACGAGGUAAUAUAAGAACCCUACCUUGAAUGUAUUUGAGAUAAAAAUGUUGCCCUGUUUAUUUCAUCUGACAUUACAUAGUAAUGUUAUAUCUAUAUAUAAAGUAAUCUACGUAAUAAUAUAGCGAGAUCAUAAAAUCAGACAAGAGAAUGGUCGGAAAUCUGAAGAAAAUUCGAAACCACAAUCAGUCAUGAGUUAGUCUAGCAAGAAGAAAUCUUUGAAAGAAAAUUUCAAAAAGUGUGAAUAACAAUCAAGUAAUUGUCUAAAGUAACAGGGAGGAAGGGACUAUUAAUGAUAGCUAUUAGAUGGAUGUUCUCUCUCUGAAAAAUACAACAAAGAGAAAAAGAUGGAAGGAACAGAAAAGAAAAGAGGAGGGGAGGAGCGCAUAGAGAAGAAAAAGAUUGAGCGAGCAAAAGAGAGAGUUAAAAAUUUCGAGUGUAUGUAGAACAGCUUCGAAUAUACAGAUCGCUGGAAAAUCGAAGACGCAGGGAAUGGAUUCAAAUACCCGUGAAAAGUAUCAUUCAUGUGGGCCAUCCAUCUUUUCUCGAACCUCUCAGCUUAACCUAGAGAGAUGCUUAACCUAUCAUAGUAUGCAAGUAGUACUUGGUUGCAGCCAAGUGUUCCUUUGCUGCCUGGAAUCCAUCGUUUUUUAAAUAUGAUUAUAUAAAUAUGUAUACUAAAAGUUUUUAUGGUAUAGCGAGAUCGUAAAUUAUUAUAGCCAACGGUAUCGAUAUUGUUAAAGUCGUGUGUAUUUUUUAACUUUUUCGAAUAGGAAUAUUUUUUAGAAUAA